rnacentral:rRNA from 1 species
UACGAAGGGGGCUAGCGUUGCUCGGAAUCACUGGGCGUAAAGGGUGCGUAGGCGGGUCUUUAAGUCAGGGGUGAAAUCCUGGAGCUCAACUCCAGAACUGCCUUUGAUACUGAAGAUCUUGAGUCCGGGAGAGGUGAGUGGAACUGCGAGUGUAGAGGUGAAAUUCGUAGAUAUUCGCAAGAACACCAGUGGCGAAGGCGGCUCACUGGCCCGGUACUGACGCUGAGGUGCGAAAGCGUGGGGGAGCAAACAGG